rnacentral:rRNA from 1 species
AGGAUGAACGCUGGCGGUCUGCUUAACACAUGCAAGUCGAACGGAGUAGCAAUACUUAGUGGCGGACGGGUGAGUAACGCGUGAGAAUCUGCCCUUAGGUCGGGGACAACCAUUGGAAACGAUGGCUAAUACCGGAUAAGCCGAGAGGUAAAAGAUUAAUUGCCUAGGGAAGAGCUCGCGUCUGAUUAGCUAGUUGGUGAGGUAAAGGCUCACCAAGGCAUCGAUCAGUAGCUGGUCUGAGAGGAUGAUCAGCCACACUGGGACUGAGACACGGCCCAGACUCCUACGGGAGGCAGCAGUGGGGAAUUUUCCGCAAUGGGCGAAAGCCUGACGGAGCAAGACCGCGUGAGGGAGGAAGGCUCUUGGGUUGUAAACCUCUUUUCUUGGGGAAGAACAAAAUGACGGUACCCAAGGAAUCAGCAUCGGCUAACUCCGCGUCAGCAGCCGC